GGAGGGCAGAAGGGAAGAAAGAAAGUAGUGUGAGUUUUUAUUUCUGUCCUCUUCCUGCCGCCUCCCCCCACUACAUACACACUUUGAUGAAAACAAAAUCUCUCCCCUUUUUCUCUCCUCCACCUCCCUCCCCCUUUUUCCUGGCUCCUACCAAAAGCCUCCUGGAAUGCAAAUGAGCUGUAUUAUGCAAAUCUAUGCAAAUCGGGCUUAACGAGCGGAAGGAGGAGGCAGAAUGCCUAAUGAGUAAUGGCGGAGGGGUGCAGAUGGAGGGUGGCAGGAAUGACCCCGUCUUCUUCAUUCCCACAGCCUGGAGGCUUGCUAGGGGUAGGAAGUAUCCUUCACUUCUGACUAGGCACAAAGCAAGGCCCUAUCGUUUCAUCUGAGAAGUCCUAGGAUGGCCUUGGCUAUAGUGAUUUUUAAAGGAUUAACCUAAAUCACUUAUCUCCUAGGGAAGUUGGCAUACCCACUUCUGGAUGAGACAGUGCCACAAUACCCCAAGAUCUCUGAGGUCUCAACAGCAAAGGAAAGAAGGUGGGAAGGUCAAUCAGGUUAUGAGGAAGGUGAAGAAAUAAGUAUCAAUAUUCCAGCUCCCAAACCUUGGAAACUGCAGACUUCAAGAAGGAUGUCCAGAUGAAGAAUGCAGAGGGGCCAGUGCUUUUCUGG